AAGUGAACGUAGGUGUUAAAUCCUAAAUCUGCACGAGUGAGUAGCGGUCUGUGAUUGGGUGCUCAUUUGUCCUAUGAUUCUUCCUCAUAUUGUUCCCAAAGGGCCCAUACCUUUUGAAAUUUGGUGGUAGUGUUCCGAACGGUAGCUGUCAUCUUGUCCAUUAAGUAAUUAUCUCUGAUUUUGGAAAUUACUAAUGAAAGUGGGGGUGUCUCUGGUUUUAUCCAGUAUUGUGCCAGUGCCCUACGAGCUGCUAGAUUGAGCAUAUUCAGAAGUUUUUGGUCGUGUUUGUCUAGUCCGUUUGUCGGUCGUGAUAAUAGACAUGCCCAGGGGUCUAGUGUUAUUUGUCGGUGUAGGAUUUUAGUGUGCAUGGCCACUAUCUUUUCCCAAAACUCCUUUACUUUAAUACACUGCCACCACAUGUGGAUGUAUGUGCCUUUUUCUCCACAUAGUCGCCAACAGGUAUCGGUGGGACAGAGUUGCAUGUGUUGUUGCUUGACUGGUGUUGUAUACCACCGAAGCAUUAUUUUAUAUGAUUGCUCCUGUAAGGUCGUGCAUAUAGACACUUUCGUGUUCGCCUCCCAUAUGUCUUGCCACUCCGUUCCCUCCAGUGUUUCCCCCAAAUCCGCUUCCCAUUUGUCUGUGUAUGUCUGCGGGCCCCACGUGCCUGAUUCUAGGCAUAUGUGGUUGUAGGACAAAUAGCCCUUCUAAGGAGAAUGUUGAUACCAACAAGUGGGAUACC